AACGAACGCUGGCGGCAGGCUUAACACAUGCAAGUCGAGCGCCCCGCAAGGGGAGCGGCAGACGGGUGAGUAACGCGUGGGAAUCUACCGUGCCCUAAGGAAUAGCUCCGGGAAACUGGAAUUAAUACCUUAUACGCCCUUCGGGGGAAAGAUUUAUCGGGGUAUGAUGAGCCCGCGUUGGAUUAGCUAGUUGGUGGGGUAAAGGCCUACCAAGGCGACGAUCCAUAGCUGGUCUGAGAGGAUGAUCAGCCACAUUGGGACUGAGACACGGCCCAAACUCCUACGGGAGGCAGCAGUGGGGAAUAUUGGACAAUGGGCGCAAGCCUGAUCCAGCCAUGCCGCGUGAGUGAUGAAGGCCCUAGGGUUGUAAAGCUCUUUCACCGGUGAAGAUAAUGACGGUAACCGGAGAAGAAGCCCCGGCUAACUUCGUGCCAGCCGCCGCUGUAAUAC
rnacentral:rRNA from 1 species